UACGUAGGGGGCAAGCGUUAUCCGGAUUUACUGGGUGUAAAGGGAGCGUAGACGGCACUGCAAGUCUGGAGUGAAAGCCCGAGGCCCAACCACGGGACUGCUCUGGAAACUGCGGGGCUGGAGUGCAGGAGGGGUAAGCGGAAUUCCUAGUGUAGCGGUGAAAUGCGUAGAUAUUAGGAGGAACACCGGUGGCGAAGGCGGCCGCCUGGCCUGUUACUGACGCUGAGGCACGAAAGCGUGGGGAGCAAAUAGG
rnacentral:rRNA from 1 species